rnacentral:rRNA from 1 species
UACGGGGGGAGCAAGCGUUGUUCGGAUUUACUGGGCGUAAAGGGCGCGUAGGCGGCCAGCACAAGUCAGUUGUGAAAUCUCCGGGCUUAACUCGGAAAGGUCAACUGAUACUGUGCGGCUAGAGUGCAGAAGGGGCAACUGGAAUUCUCGGUGUAGCGGUGAAAUGCGUAGAUAUCGAGAGGAACACCUGCGGCGAAGGCGGGUUGCUGGGCCGACACUGACGCUGAUGCGCGAAAGCGUGGGGAGCAAACAGG